rnacentral:rRNA from 1 species
ACUGCUCAGUAACACGUGGCUAAUCUGCCCUUGAGACGAGAACAACCCCGGGAAACUGGGGCUAAUUCUCGAUAGGCGAAGAACUCUGGAAUGAGUCUUCACCCAAAAAGCUUCACGUUAUGCUCGUGGAGUCGCUCAAGGAUGAGGCCGCGACCGAUCAGGUUGUUGGUGAGGUAAUGGCUCACCAAGCCUUUUACCGGUGCGGGCCGUGAGAGCGGGAGCCCGGAGAUGGGCACUGAGACAAGGGCCCAGGCCCUACGGGGCGCAGCAGUCGCGAAAACUUUGCAAUACACGAAAGUGUGACAGGGCUAUCCCGAGUGCCAUCCGCUGAGGAAGGCUUUUACCCAGUCUAGAAAGCUGGGGGAAUAAGGAGAGGGCAAGUCUGGUGUCAGCCGCCGCGGUAAUACCAGCUCUCCGAGUGGUGUGGAUGUUUAUUGGGCCUAAAGCAUCCGUAGCUGGCUAAGUUAGUCCCUUGUUAAAUCCACCGAAUUAAUCGUUGGAUUGCGGGGGAUACUGCUUGGCUAGGGGACGAGAGAGGCAGACGGUAUUUCCGGGGUAGGGGUGAAAUCCUAUAAUCCCGGGAAGACCACCAGUGGCGAAGGCUGUCUGCUAGAACGCGCCCGACGGUGAGGGGUGAAAGCUGGGGGAGCGAACCGGAUUAGAUACCCGGGUAGUCCCAGCUGUAAACGAUGCAGGCUAGGUGUUUGGACGGCCACGUGCCGUUCUAGUGCCGCAGGGAAGCUGUUAAGCCUGCCGCCUGGGGAGUACGAUCGCAAGAUUGAAACUUAAAGGAAUUGGCGGGGGAGCAC